rnacentral:rRNA from 1 species
UACGAAGGGGGGCUAGCGUUGUUCGGAAUUACUGGGCGUAAAGCGCGCGUAGGCGGUUUUGCAAGCCAGAGGUGAAAUGCCUGAGCUCAACUUAGGAAUUGCCUUUGGGACUGCGAGGCUUUGAGGACUGGAGAGGUGAGUGGAAUUCCCAGUGUAGAGGUGAAAUUCGUAGAUAUUGGGAAGAACACCGGUGGCGAAGGCGGCUCACUGGCCAGUUUCUGACGCUGCAGCGCGAAAGCGUGGGGAUCAAACAGG